UUCAAGUUCAGUCUGUCUGGACAACCGUUGGCAUUUCAAUUUUGUUUUCCGGGGUGGUCAUGGAUGGUAAAUUCAAAGUGCAGCAACAACAAACUCCAGCGCAGCAGCCUGGCAUUAUUCCCGGCCACCCAGUUCAGCCAGACCAAUGGGUUGUGAGCUGUGAGCAUGGAGAAUGGUUGUCCAUACAAAUAGGGCUGCAAUUUCUUCAGGGCCCACACCACAGCCAGGCAUCCCUUCUCAAUGGUGGUGUAGCUUACUUUUCUGGGUAACAGCUAGCGACUGAUGUAAGUCACGGGAUGUUCUACACCAAAAAACGUUUAGUUGGAUUGGGAGCUGCCAAGAUGGGGGUAUUUAUAAGAGCUUGAUUUAACCGCUGGAAUGCCUGCUCAC